rnacentral:rRNA from 1 species
CCUACGGGGAGCAGCAGUGGGGAAUAUUGGACAAUGGGCGAAAGCCUGAUCCAGCCAUGCCGCGUGUGUGAAGAAGGCCUUCGGGUUGUAAAGCACUUUCAGUGGGGAAGAAAGCCUUGGGGCUAAUACCCUCGAGGAAGGACAUCACCCACAGAAGAAGCACCGGCUAACUCCGUGCCAGCAGCCGCGGUAAUACGGAGGGUGCGAGCGUUAAUCGGAAUUACUGGGCGUAAAGCGCGCGUAGGCGGUCUGAUAAGCCGGUUGUGAAAGCCCCGGGCUCAACCUGGGAACGGCAUCCGGAACUGUCAGGCUAGAGUGCAGGAGAGGAAGGUAGAAUUCCCGGUGUAGCGGUGAAAUGCGUAGAGAUCGGGAGGAAUACCAGUGGCGAAGGCGGCCUUCUGGACUGACACUGACGCUGAGGUGCGAAAGCGUGGGUAGCAAACAGGAUUAGAUACCCGGUAGUC